AGAGUUUGAUCCUGGCUCAGGAUGAACGCUGACAGAAUGCUUAACACAUGCAAGUCUACUUGAACUUCGGUUUGGGUGGCGGACGGGUGAGUAACGCGUAAAGAACUUGCCUCACAGCUAGGGACAACAUUUGGAAACGAAUGCUAAUACCUGAUAUUAUGAUUAUAUGGCAUCGUAUAAUUAUGAAAGCUAUAUGCGCUGUGAGAGAGCUUUGCGUCCCAUUAGCUAGUUGGAGAGGUAACGGCUCACCAAGGCGAUGAUGGGUAGCCGGCCUGAGAGGGUGAACGGCCACAAGGGGACUGAGACACGGCCCUUACUCCUACGGGAGGCAGCAGUGGGGAAUAUUGGACAAUGGACCAAGAGUCUGAUCCAGCAAUUCUGUGUGCACGAUGAAGUUUUUCGGAAUGUAAAGUGCUUUCAGUUGGGAAGAAAAAAAUGACGGUACCAACAGAAGAAGUGACGGCUAAAUACGUGCCAGCAGCCGCGGUAAUACGUAUGUCACAAGCGUUAUCCGGAUUUAUUGGGCGUAAAGCGCGUCUAGGUGGUUAUGUAAGUCUGAUGUGAAAAUGCAGGGCUCAACUCUGUAUUGCGUUGGAAACUGUGUAACUAGAGUACUGGAGAGGUAAGCGGAACUACAAGUGUAGAGGUGAAAUUCGUAGAUAUUUGUAGGAAUGCCGAUGGGGAAGCCAGCUUACUGGACAGAUACUGACGCUAAAGCGCGAAAGCGUGGGUAGCAAACAGGAUUAGAUACCCUGGUAGUCCACGCUGUAAACGAUGAUUACUAGGUGUUGGGGGUCGAACCUCAGCGCCCAAGCAAACGCGAUAAGUAAUCCGCCUGGGGAGUACGUACGCAAGUAUGAAACUCAAAGGAAUUGACGGGGACCCGCACAAGCGGUGGAGCAUGUGGUUUAAUUCGACGCAACGCGAGGAACCUUACCAGCGUUUGACAUCUUAGGAAUGAGACAGAGAUGUUUCAGUGUCCCUUCGGGGAAACCUAAAGACAGGUGGUGCAUGGCUGUCGUCAGCUCGUGUCGUGAGAUGUUGGGUUAAGUCCC
rnacentral:rRNA from 1 species